UACGUAGGGGGCAAGCGUUUGUUCGGAGUUACUGGGCGUAAAGGGUGUGUAGGCGGUUUUCUAAGUCUGGUGUGAAAUCUCCCGGCUCAACUGGGAGGGUGCGCCGAAAACUGGAAGGCUAGAGUGCGGGAUGGGUAAGUGGAAUUCCUGGUGUAGCGGUGAAAUGCGCAGAUAUCAGGAGGAACACCAAUGGCGAAGGCAGCUCGCUGGGACGUGACUGACGA
rnacentral:rRNA from 1 species